CUCCGGUCCUACUCCAUUUUCAUAGGGCCGGGAGAGCCGUCAAAAAGGAGGAAAAAACCGCCGGCCGGCGGUGCGGCAGUGUGGAGACCUGUCGUAAAGUCCGUGGGGCAGCCACUCCCCACGGGUGAGAGGGCGGUUGCGGAGGCAGCGUCCUUACGGCCAAGCAUUAUGGCA
rnacentral:ncRNA from 1 species